ACUCCUAGAAUCAGCUUCCAAUCAUUGUUGUCACAUCGUGAGUGACAGGUGUCUUGACCAGCCCCCUUGAUUUACUGUCCAGUUGGGCUAAAUUAAUUCAGCCCAGUCCACUGACUUUUGGCCAAUGACAGUGCGUGGAAGUACAGUGAGGGCCCGCCUGCUGUUACUGUAGUGAGAGAGUGAGUGUUGAGUUUUGAGAAUUGCGUUAGCAUCAUGCCGAACGAGGUGGAUUAUUUUAAAUGCAGUCUAUCGAGCGGGACCUCAUCCAGAAAUCAUCUUACUUAAAUGACUUGGUGAUUAACCUGUUUGCAUCCCAGAAAGGCCGUUGAUGUUAGCUUCUCAUAAAAUAAGGACUGGGGGCAUUCUGCAUCUCUGUUGAACAGGAGAGAGGAAGAAGAGGGGAUGAUGCAGAAGAUAGACAGCAGUACUGGCAAAGAUUUCAAUCACAGGCAAUGGAUCCAUAUUUGGAUGGCCUCAUUGCCCAUCUCGAGAGACCUUUCUGUGAGGUUGGAGUCGUGGCUGCAUUUGGGAUACUCGGUCCACAAGCAGCUACACUACCUGACGACACUGCACAUACAAAACUGAGGAUACUGCUGGAGAAGUUUUGUUUUUUCAUGGAUCUUCUGAUGAUUCCCACCCCUAUGAGCAUAUUGUUGUUUAGCGCCUGUAUGUUGAUGAGAGAUCAAGGCUUGAAAAUUCUGCAGUGAGUUACCUAUUUCAAACUCUGACUUUCAAUGACACACUUUUACAAUUUUCUUGUAAAAUAAAUAAACAAAUAAAUAAAUGGAUCUGACUUUAUAAUUUUCUGACAUCCAUCAACUGUCCACCCA